AUUUUACCACAGAGGCGAAUGCCGAUAAGUUUACCUUUUAUCUCCUCUCCCACCUCAUUCAAGGAAUAUAAAAGGUUGAUCUUUGAUUUGAUGGUUUUUGGAAUGUCAAAAUGCGGUUCAUCGGACCUCGCCAUGGGGGAAAAUUUCACCAAACAAUUGCUGUACGUACAGCACGUCGAUAAGGAAAAGGACUCAACCAGUAUAAUAUCAGAGCAAUCCCUCCGAGAAUAUUUGUUGGUAAACCACAAGGUAUAUUCCGAAUCUAAUUUUGCAGAGUACUUGAAGAAUCCUGUAGCAAAUGUCGACAUUCUGAAAUCAUAUUUAGAACAUAAAAUCAUCAAUGUCCAAGUUUACUCCAAUCCUCUCCGAGAAUCUCUCAAAUCGCCCGUCGCGAUUCACGCUUUCGUCGUUUUCCAAACGAGUAACAGUAACUGGAAUACGAAUGAAGAGAUGUGGUAUUCCAUCGAAAAAAAAAACGGGCAGUACAUAGUUCUGCAACAAUCACCAUUUGAAGAGGACGUCACACAGAAAUUAUACGACGCUGAAAAGAAGGAACCUGUCAGAAGACUUUGGCCAGUCAUACCAAAAAAAAGUGCUAGGGGCAAUUAUAAGGCCCUUGAAUAUUUAUUGCGAGCCAUUUGGGAAACCAAUCAGCUAACUACAAAAUAUCAUCUUCUGUUUGCGAAUUGCCACAAUUUCGCAACUUUUGUAUUCGAAAAAUCAAACGACGGAGGGGAAAAGUGGUCGACGCCGAUAAGUGCUUUCAUCGACUCACCGAAUUGGAUUGAGAAAUAAGAAAAUCAAGUCCAUCAGCCCAGCGGAAUUAGUUAAAUACAACUGGAUUGAAAAAGACGCCAAAUUCGACUAUUACAAAGCUAUGUUAGAGGGAAGGUGGGAAUACUUUAAAGACCUUGCCGGUAAUUUGACAAGCGAAUCUUUGAACAGCGUCGACUCCCAAGGCUACACAUUACUCGAAUGGGCCACCGUUUUCUCCACACCCAAUUGGCCAAUCGACCAGUUUUUAAUGGAAAAAGGCGCCAAAAUUCAAACAGACGAAGGAACGUUUCGUCGGAAUGUUUUUUUCAUCGCCCUGCAGUAUUUUCCUUCAACUAAAGAGUUGAAAAGCAAAUCUUACCUCUUGUCAUUUAAGGGCAUUGAUAUUCAUGGCGUGAACACAACGGGCGACACGGCAAUGCACUUGGCUUUGUAUGGAGAAAAAUGGAACGUUGCCAAAAAGAUUCUCAAGGAAUUUCCAAAUUAUGACGUCAACGUCACCAAUUCUUGUGGGCAUCUUCCAUUUUAUCUAGCUGUAAAAUUUAAAUGUAAAAGGGUUUUGCUAAAAACGAUUCUAGAUAGAACCAAUCCGGAAAAUCUCAAGAAACCCAUCGAACCCUAUGGAGAAGAACCCUGCUCUUCACGUCGCAAUCAAGGACAAGUCCACAACUAUAGUAGUGGAAUUGCUCAAACACAAGGACGUGGACGCGAACUUAAAAGAUGUUAACAACUACACAGCACUACAUCCUCCCACAAAGAUGCUGUUAGGUAGUAGAUUAAUUAAUGAAGGUGCAUUUACCCGCAUUUUUUACCGGCCAAACCAUCCCAAGUACAGGCAACGCAGAGGCAAAAAUUACUAUCGUGAAUAAAUCCAGUUUGUUGAUGGCACCGAUCAACAUGGUGGGAGCAUACAAGGACCGGUUUUUUUUUAGGAAACAGUGAUUUAAAUCUGUUGAAUACCAAGUUGUAUUCAUCGAGGAAAUAACCUGGAAAAAACCCAUGCAAACCAGUCGCCCUAGCCAAAAAAAAAAAAAAAAAAAGAAAAAGGUCUUACAUUUCUAUUAUCGACGUGCGUGAUAUCCCGAAGCUACUCACGCUCAAGACAUCUGAUGCAGUUUCAUCCGUAUAAAAGGAUCCACUUCGACUCGAGAUUCAAACCAAGAAACAUCAGUUGAUCUGUGUGUUCCAUCUCCUUCCUACAGUCUGCAAAAUAAAAUGAUGAAUGUCUUGUCAAUUUUCCUGCUCAUGGCUGCCGUGUCUCUGACAACCGUGUCCGCUCGAUUCUGGAAUGUAGGCGACAACGGAUUGGUUCGCUGGGACUACAAUUGUCAUUUUGUUGGCAAUGUCAUCGACAACAAGCCCAGCUCUGGCGAGCAAUGCGGUGGCAUCUGCAUCGCCAACUCUCAAUGCACCCACUUUACUCACGCGGGCGGUUACUGUUACCUGAAGAGACACACCGGCCCUUGGAGAGAAACCGAUGAAACUGCAAACACUUGCGGUUUCAUCCCCGGCCGAAGCGCGCAGAACGAACGAAAAUGAACGCAAUCGUCACGAAUUUCGGCUACGACAAACGACUGAAAAAAAAGGAAAUUAUAAUACCGUUUAAAAUAUUUGAUCAAUAGCUGAAAAUAAAGCAUCUUCUGCAUGACAUUGGCAAAUACAUUCUGGUUAGCUCAA